rnacentral:pre_miRNA from 1 species
CAAUUACUCCCUCCGUCCGAAAAUACUUGUCAUUAAAAUGGACAAAAAGGGAUGUAUCUAAAACUAAAAUACAUCUAGGUACAUCCCCUUUUAUUCAUUUUGAUGACAAGUAUUUCCGGAUGGAGGGAGUACUUU